GACGAACGCUGGCGGCGUGCUUAACACAUGCAAGUCGAACGGAAAGGCCCUGCUUUUGUGGGGUGCUCGAGUGGCGAACGGGUGAGUAACACGUGAGUAACCUGCCCUUGACUUUGGGAUAACUUCAGGAAACUGGGGCUAAUACCGGAUAGGAGCUCCUGCUGCAUGGUGGGGGUUGGAAAGUUUCGGCGGUUGGGGAUGGACUCGCGGCUUAUCAGCUUGUUGGUGGGGUAGUGGCUUACCAAGGCUUUGACGGGUAGCCGGCCUGAGAGGGUGACCGGCCACAUUGGGACUGAGAUACGGCCCAGACUCCUACGGGAGGCAGAAGUGGGGAAUAUUGCACAAUGGGUGGAAGCCUGAUGCAGCAACGCCGCGUGCGGGAUGACGGCCUUCGGGUUGUAAACCGCUUUCGCCUGUGACGAAGCGUGAGUGACGGUAAUGGGUAAAGAAGCACCGGCUAACUACGUG
rnacentral:rRNA from 1 species